rnacentral:rRNA from 1 species
CGGGCUGGACCUCUCGGGGUUACAGCCUUGCUGAAUUAUUCACCCUUGUCUUUUGCGCACUUCUUGUUUCCUUGGUGGGUUCGCCCACCACUAGGACAAACAUAAACCUUUUGUAAUUGCAAUCAGCGUCAGUAACAAAUUAAUAAUUACAACUUUCAACAACGGAUCUCUUGGUUCUGGCAUCGAUGAAGAACGCAGCGAAAUGCGAUAAGUAGUGUGAAUUGCAGAAUUCAGUGAAUCAUCGAAUCUUUGAACGCACAUUGCGCCCUUUGGUAUUCCAAAGGGCAUGCCUGUUCGAGCGUCAUUUGUACCCUCAAGCUUUGCUUGGUGUUGGGCGUCUUGUCUCUAGCUUUGCUGGAGACUCGCCUUAAAGUAAUUGGCAGCCGGCCUACUGGUUUCGGAGCGCAGCACAAGUCGCACUCUCUAUCAGCAAAGGUCUAGCAUCCAUUAAGCCUUUUUUUCAACUUUUGACCUCGGAUCAGGUAGGGAUACCCGCUGAACUUAAGCAUAUCAAUAAGCGGAGGAAGG